rnacentral:tRNA from 1 species
GCUCUUGUAGUUCAACGGAUAGAACAGCCCCGUCCUAAGGGGUAGAUGUCAGUUCAAUUCUGGCCAAGAGCACAA